rnacentral:rRNA from 1 species
UGGGGAAUCUUGCGCAAUGGGCGAAAGCCUGACGCAGCCAUGCCGCGUGAAUGAUGAAGGUCUUAGGAUUGUAAAAUUCUUUCACCGGGGACGAUAAUGACGGUACCCGGAGAAGAAGCCCCGGCUAACUUCGUGCCAGCAGCCGCGGUAAUACGAAGGGGGCUAGCGUUGCUCGGAAUUACUGGGCGUAAAGGGAGCGUAGGCGGACAUUUAAGUCAGGGGUGAAAUCCCGGGGCUCAACCUCGGAAUUGCCUUUGAUACUGGGUGUCUUGAGUAUGAGAGAGGUGUGUGGAACUCCGAGUGUAGAGGUGAAAUUCGUAGAUAUUCGGAAGCACACCAGUGGCGAAGGCGACACACUGGCUCAUUACUGACGCUGAGGCUCGAAAGCGUGGGGAGCAAACAGG